rnacentral:rRNA from 1 species
AGAGUUUGGUCCUGGCUCAGGAUGAACGCUAGCGGCAGGCUUAACACAUGCAAGUCGAGGGGCAACAUUGUAGCUUGCUCCAGAUGACGACCGGCGCACGGGUGCGUAACGCGUAUGCAACUUGCCCUUAACAGGAGGAUAGCUCAGGGAAACCUGGAUUAAUACUCCAUAGUCACUCUGCAGGCAUCUAGAAUAAGUAAAACUUCGGUGGUUAAGGAUAGGCAUGCGUGACAUUAGCUAGUUGGUGAGGUAACGGCCCACCAAGGCUACGAUGUCUAGGGGUUCUGAGAGGAUGAUCCCCCACACUGGUACUGAGACACGGACCAGACUCCUACGGGAGGCAGCAGUGAGGAAUAUUGCACAAUGGAGGCAACUCUGAUCCAGCCAUGCCGCGUGCAGGAAGACUGCCCUACGGGUUGUAAACUGCUUUUAUACGGGAAGAAACCCUCCCACGUGUGGGGGGCUGACGGUACCGUAAGAAUAAGCAUCGGCUAACUCCGUGCCAGCAGCCGCGGUAAUACGGAGGAUGCAAGCGUUAUCCGGAAUCAUUGGGUUUAAAGGGUCCGUAGGCGGACGAUUAAGUCAGGGGUGAAAGUUUGCAGCUCAACUGUAAAAUUGCCCUUGAUACUGGUUGUCUUGAAUUACUGUGAAGUGGUUAGAAUAUGUAGGGUAGCGGUGAAAUGCAGAGAUAUUACAUAGAAUACCAAUUGCGAAGGCAGAUCACUAACAGUAUAUUGACGCUGAGGGACGAAAGCGUGGGGAGCGAACAGGAUUAGAUACCCUGGUGGUCCACGCCGUAAACGAUGGAUACUAGCUGUUGGACUUCUUCAGUGGCUAAGCGAAAGUGAUAAGUAUCCCACCUGGGGAGUACGUUCGCAAGAAUGAAACUCAAAGGAAUUGACGGGGGCCCGCACAAGCGGUGGAGCAUGUGGUUUAAUUCGAUGAUACGCGAGGAACCUUACCAGGGCUUAAAUGCAUAUUGACAGGGUCAGAGAUGACUUUUCCUUCGGGCAAUUUGCAAGGUGCUGCAUGGUUGUCGUCAGCUCGUGCCGUGAGGUGUCAGGUUAAGUCCUAUAACGAGCGCAACCCCUACCGUUAGUUGCCAGCGAGUCAAGUCGGGGACUCUAACGGGACUGCCGGUGCAAACCGUGAGGAAGGUGGGGAUGACGUCAAAUCAUCACGGCCCUUACGUCCUGGGCCACACACGUGCUACAAUGGCCGGUACAGAGAGCAGCCACUUGGCAACAAGGAGCGAAUCUACAAAACCGGUCACAGUUCGGAUCGGGGUCUGCAACUCGACCCCGUGAAGCUGGAAUCGCUAGUAAUCGGAUAUCAGCCAUGAUCCGGUGAAUACGUUCCCGGGCCUUGUACACACCGCCCGU